CCCACCUUGUAUCAGAAAAAAAAAAAGCCUCUUUUCUCUUGUCCUGUCAUCACGGAAGAAGGAGGACACCUGGUCAUUACAGAAGAAGCCCAAUGAAUCGCUCAUUUAAUUUUUUGCUGGUUUAAUUGAGCCGUACCUCGCAUUUGCUGGAAACAGACUCCAGGGACUUCUCCAAGUUCUUUGAUUGCACUGGAAUCUUGAUGAAUCAACCUCUUCUUUGAAAUACGAGGACUAUUGCCCAAGAUAAGAAAACUGAAGCCCAGAGAGAUGAGAAGAUUUACCAAGCUACGCCCGAGACCUAGGAUCCAAGGCUCUUUGCCAUACACACUCCUGCCUUGGAUGAAUGACAUUCUGGAAAUGCAACGGAUAACUAUUACUGUGGCAAGUAGUAUAGAGAAGGGACAUUAGAAACUGUGACAAGGGCAAGCCAGUUUGACUCGGCACGUUGCUUGAACCUGAGGCUUCCUGGAUGCUAAAUUGCAGGAGGUUACAUGCAUGGACUGAGCCCUGUUUUGGGGGAUUAAUCUCCUCGCCCACGAGAAAGUGAAGAACUCCGCCGUGCACAUUUAAGUACUACUAUUCAGGGAACUUGGAGAGGUCAUUUACCAAAUAGCUCCUUUACCCUUCCCACCAAGAAUUCACUGCUUUAAUUGAGGGGAGUGGUUUUUUUGGAGAAUUGGCCGGCCCGACAUAAAGUGGCAUUGUAAACUUCAA